GUGGGGAAUAUUGCACAAUGGGGGAAACCCUGAUGCAGCAACGCCGCGUGAGUGAUGACGGCCUUCGGGUUGUAAAGCUCUGUUUCCAGGGACGAUAAUGACGGUACCUGGGGAGGAAGCCACGGCUAACUACGUGCCAGCAGCCGCGGUAAUACGUAGGUGGCAAGCGUUGUCCGGAUUUACUGGGCGUAAAGGGAGCGUAGGCGGAUUUUUAAGUGGGAUGUGAAAUCCCCGGGCUCAACCCGGGGGCUGCAUUCCAAACUGGAAAUCUAGAGUGUCGGAGAGGAAAGCAGAAUUCCUAGUGUAGCGGUGAAAUGCGUAGAGAUUAGGAAGAAUACCAGUGGCGAAGGCGGCUUUCUGGACGAUAACUGACGCUGAGGCUCGAAAGCGUGGGGAGCAAACAGGAUUAGAAACCCCAGUAGUCC
rnacentral:rRNA from 1 species